UUGCGCUUUUAGAAAAUUACAUGCCGGAUUAGCUAGUUGGUAGAGUAAAAGCCUACCAAGGUAACGAUCCGUAGCUGGUCUGAGAGGAUGAUCAGCCACACUGGGACUGAGAAAAGGCCCAGACUCCUACGGGAGGCAGCAGUGGGGAAUAUUGGACAAUGGGGGGAACCCUGAUCCAGUCAUGCCGCGUGUGUGAAGAAGGCCUUUGGGUUGUAAAGCACUUUCAGCGAAGAAGAAAAGUUAGAAAAUAAAAAGUUAUAACUAUGACGGUACUCGCAGAAGAAGCACCGGCUAACUCCGUGCCAGCAGCCGCGGUAAGACGGAGGGUGCAAGCGUUAAUCAGAAUUACUGGGCGUAAAGGGCAUGUAGG
rnacentral:rRNA from 1 species